rnacentral:rRNA from 1 species
UACGUAGGGUGCGAGCGUUGUCCGGAAUUAUUGGGCGUAAAGGGCUCGUAGGCGGUCUGUCGCGUCGGGAGUGAAAACUCAGGGCUUAACCCUGAGCCUGCUUCCGAUACGGGCAGACUAGAGGUAUGCAGGGGAGAACGGAAUUCCUGGUGUAGCGGUGAAAUGCGCAGAUAUCAGGAGGAACACCGGUGGCGAAGGCGGUUCUCUGGGCAUUACCUGACGCUGAGGAGCGAAAGUGUGGGGAGCGAACAAG